rnacentral:rRNA from 1 species
GGCCUUUUGUAAAUGAUUUAAGGUCUGACCUGCCCAAUGAUGAUAGUUUAAUGGCCGCAGUAUUUUGACUGUGCAAAGGUAGCAUAAUCAUUAGUUUUUUAAUUGGAAGCUGGAAUGAAUGGUUUGAUGAAAAAGUGGCUGUCUCAUUUUAAAUGUUUUAGAAUUUUAAUUUUAAGUGAAAAAGCUUAAAUUAUUUAAAAAGACGAGAAGACCCUAUAGAGUUUAAUAUUUUAAUAUAGUAUUUUAAAUUGGAUUUAAAUUAAAAUACUAUAUUAAAAUAUUUUGUUGGGGUGAUGUAAAAAUUUAAUUAACUUUUUAUUAUUUUAACAUAAAUUAAUGAAUAUUUGAUCCUAAUUUUUAGAUUAAAAGAAUAAAUUACCUUAGGGAUAACAGCGUAAUUUUUUUAGAGAGUUCUUAUUGAUAAAAAAGUUUGCGA